GCCUAAAUUCGAGUGUUAUAAGGAUUAAAUUAAGUUAAUGUUAUUAUUGUAUUUAAUAUCAGACCUCCAAAGGAGUGAAGGCCUCGUCCAAAUUCUUCCAUUUGCCUCUCAUCUUCGCUACUAUUUUCCGUUCUUUCCCAGCUAAUAUUUUAUUUCAUCUUCCCAGUUUUUUUCCCAUAUGGAAUGGCCAUAUAGAUCUUGACCAAUCUGUCAUCGCACGAGUACUUAGUCACUAGUCUUUAUUUCUAAUUCUUAAACGCAUUUUAUUAUUUCAAAACAGUAUUUUAGGAGGUCAAAAAAUUACCAUAGACAGGGCUCCAUAUCAAGCAAAUUAUGGUGAUAUUUGUGGUGCUGUUAUAAUACAUGUGAAAUGGUUGCUGACUAGUGCACAUUGUGGAGAAAGAGAUUUCAUAAGGACUGGAAGUAAGUUUCGACUUAAAUCUUCCAAAACCAACGUCAAAUCUCACUUCGUUCAUCCGUUGUAUGGUCGUCGUCAUGAAUUCGACUAUGACGUGCAGCUUUUAGAACUAUUUCGAGAGUUACAUUUCGGAAGGAAAGUAGGGUCUAUUAGAAUUAGUCAUGGAGUAUGUGGGAGCGACGUUUCUGUCAGUGGUUGGGGGUAUUCGAAGGAAAAGGGGGAUUAUAACGAUAUUCUAAAACAAGUGAAGAUCGAGAUUAUACCGUUAGAGGAGUGUCAAAAAAUUCAGAAUUCCUUCUAUAACAAUACAUUGACAAACACAAUGUUUUGUGCUGGCGCUGAAGACGGAGAUGCUUGUCAAGGAGACAGUGGUGGUGCUGCGGUAUCUUAUGGCCAAUUGAUCGGAAUUUCAAGUUUUGGAUACGGUUGCGGAAGAAAUACGCCAGGCGUUUACAUCAAUUUAUCACAUACAAAUAUUCGCUUGUGGAUUCGCAGAUUCACUGGAAUUUCCAUCAUUAAUUGAAAUUGAAUGCCAGAGAAAAAACGGUGCCAUUAAAGCUU